UACGAAGGGGGCUAGCGUUGCUCGGAAUCACUGGGCGUAAAGGGCGCGUAGGCGGAUCUUUAAGUCGGGGGUGAAAGCCCAGGGCUCAACCCUGGAAUUGCCUUCGAUACUGGAGAUCUUGAGACCGGAAGAGGUAAGUGGAACUGCGAGUGUAGAGGUGAAAUUCGUAGAUAUUCGCAAGAACACCAGUGGCGAAGGCGGCUUACUGGUCCGGUUCUGACGCUGAGGCGCGAAAGCGUGGGAGCAAACAGGAGUUAGA
rnacentral:rRNA from 1 species